CCGCACGGGCCGGGCGUUCCGCCCUGGAAGGCGCGGGAAGGGCGCCGGGCCCUCGGGAGGAGGAGGGGACAGUUGUCGCAGCUGGUGCGAAGAAGGACGCUGUCGGGAGCCGGAGAGGGGGACAGGGCGACACGCUCCCCCAGACCCGUUACCAGACUAGCCCCGGACCCUCCCGUCGCUGAGUGACGUCUGGACUCGAGCAGCGCCCCAGUCCCUCCCUCGGCCACUCGCGCCCCGCGCUGAGCUCACGGCCCGGCAGGGGACACACUGCGCACAGCUAAUGCAAGGGACCCAAUUCUGCCUGCUCUGCAAAAAAAAAGAAAGGAGAGAAAUCACUUAUAUCAGUGCUGGGGAGUGGGGUUCAGGACCCCACACCCCGGCCCCGUGAGCGUGAGAUCGGAACCCCAGUCUGAUGCCCGUCAAGUGUGACCACCGUGAGCGUUUUGCUGCCCUAACAAGAGUCUGGUAGUUUAAAGACACACAUUUUUUAUACAGAAGGCCUUGAAACAUAAGUCACCUGCUUCCUCUGGGGCAAAACUCAAGGAACAGUCUACAGAGCUGGGGAGAAAUUAUUGGACCAAAAGUGUGUACUGAGUUACAUGAAUACCAGGGUUGUCUUGUGUAAGCUGGAGGCAGAUGUCCAUGAAGAAAAAGCAAGAACUAGAAAGCUCUCAGAAGCCAAGGCAGCUCCUCUCUCAAGCUCUGUCUGGAACCCCCUGGUCUCUCAACCUGGCCUCUUUGCUCUGCUCUGCCUCAUUCCCCCGGCUUGCUUCUUAGGUGUUCCCCUUUAAGAGCCCAGUUUUUUUAAAAAAAAAUCAAUGUCCUAAUCUCAACUUCUCAGGAAAAAGAAUGCAACUGUCCCAGCUUAGAUGUGAUGUCCUGGCCUGAUCACAUGGGACCCGGGGGCCACAGGCAAGUGGCACAAUAGCCCCUUCACAGGGACUGUGAAAAUAAUCCCCAGAAAAGGGGGCACAGGCAGGGAGGGCACAGUAGUGUAGUGGAGAGAACACUAGAGUCCUGGAUCUGCCACUAAUUUGCCGUGUGCCCUUAGAAAAGUCAGUGGACCUCUCUGAGCCUCGAUUUCUUGCUACUUCCAGGACCAAAUUGAGAACUUCACAGCCUGCAAAGACUGUGAAAAGUUUCACCCCAUCUAUGACACUGAAAAUAAAACCAGUGCUAAUCCAUAAGAUAAAUGUCAGGCCGUGUGACUGGAUCCUGACUUCUGCUGUCAUGUCUUUAUAAUGACAUAACAAAUCAUUUUGUUAAAAAAAAAGUUUAGGUGUUCCUACUUCACUGGUGCCAUCAGCACUGGCUUAGUUUGUCUUUUAGGUUGCAAACUGUCUUUGCUCAGCCAAGGAGGCCACGCCAGCCCCUUCUAUCUUCCUCAGCCUGGCUGAGUGGCCUAAUCUCCGUGCUUGUGGCAUGUGAUGUCCCCUAAGCACCACCACCACCCCCCACCCCACCCCUGCCACGGUGACUGGUUUGAUGAUAAGAGAACACCCCACCCCAGGUCAGACCAAUCAGAGCUUCUUUCCCAAGAAAUGGAAUUUGGACACAAACUUCCCCGAGAAACAAAGUGCUGAGCAAUAGGUUAAUGGGGCAUUGGGUGCUGGAACCAAGAGAUCGUGUGAAGUCACAGCCGGGGUAGCCGUUUUCCACCGGACGACACGCUGCCGUGGCCACAAAGGUGGCCCCCACACAAAGCCUUUCCCCUGCAUCUCCCUUGCUAAUAAAAUCCUGAUUUUUUAUUCCAGGCUUCAGUGGAGAACUCGGAAUCUCUUAGAUCCCAAGACCUCACAGGGUCUACCUGCGAUCUUGGGGCGGCCCAUGAGACAUGAGAGGAGACCCACUGGGGGACGGUGGGACGGAGAUGCCAGCUGAACGUCCAGUGCUCAGUGUCUGCAGUGUGAGCCGAAGUCAGUCACUGGGCCCCAUGGGAUGGCAGCUGAAGUUCUGUCGCUGCCGCAGCGCCUCCAAGCCCGCCACGAUAACCCGUGCACUGCCCGGCCACCUCCCGUGCACUGCACGACUGCUUGCCCCAGUGGUGAGGGUGCUGUGGUUUGCAACCGAGAACCAUCCGGGACGGACAGAGGUGGCACCGUCGGCAUUCAGAGUUCUAGAUUCCUCCCCACGGCCGUCCAGAACUGCACCCCUGUUGGCCAGUGAAAGCUAGAGUCACCGUUACAAUCUGAGUGACAGAUGGAGACAAGAAGUGGUGAGGGUGUGUACAUCCUAAAGAAAGCAUUUUGGCCUCAUACAGCUAAAGCUGUAAGAAUGUUUACACUGUUCAACCCGGGAAACCUAAAUGUGGGGGUUCGUCCUAAGAAAAUAAGUCAAAGGCAAAAAAACCCAAAAUCCUGAUGCACAGAGAUGCCUAUCGUAACACUGUUUUUAUAGGGCCAGUGGCAAUAAGUAAAUAAGGAGAAAGCCAGUCCCAAGAGAGCCUGUACUAACAGAUGACAUUGUGUAAAGUACAAAAUUGAGGGAAACUCACGCUCUUGGAAGUCAGCAUACAGGUUAUCUGGUAGAGGGGGUUGGAGAAGGAAUAACUAGAAGGGAAAUCAGGAAGUUUCCAGGGUGCUGAGAAUAUUCUGUUUCUUGAUCUGGUUAAGUUCAUUUGUGAAAAUUCAUCAAGAUAUACAUACACCUUUGAUACGGACCCUUUAUACAUGUGUAUUGUACUUCAAUAAAAAACGUUUUCUAAAAAGA